rnacentral:sRNA from 1 species
AGCCUAAACUCUAGGUUUUCUGGAGCAUGGCACGAAAUCCGAUCAAGGUAUUGAACCCCUCGUUCAGAAACCUUGAUCGGUCAUACGUCGAAAGGCGUAUGGGUCGAAAGACC